AAGAUACUAGUAUAGUUGAAAAUACACUGCUUUGUCAGGGCAGAGUCGUGGGUUAGACCCCCGCGUGUCUUA
rnacentral:tRNA from 1 species